rnacentral:lncRNA from 1 species
AGAGUGUUUUGUAUGAGAGUGAAGUGUUGGGAAAUACUUGUGUGAACUCUUUCUUUGGAGUGAUCUUGUGAGGUUAUUCUCUUAGGGUAGUUGGGAUUAAUUAGAGUGUUUAGUCUACUUUUAUACUCUCUUUUAUACUUUUGCUAGUAUAUUGAAAUUACUCCUUUCCGCUUGUGGACGUAGGUCACUUUAACCAAACAACGUUAAAUUUAUGUCUUCUUUAUAUGUUUUAAUUGACGUUGUUAUCAACUUUCAUUAUCUUUGUUAUUAUCAUUAUACUGUUGUUUAGCUAAAUUCCACUCUACCCAAAUUCUCGAUACUAACAGGGAAGGUGGAGUGAUAUACAAGACAGAGCACAAUUUCACCUAAGGGAUAACUACGUGAGAUUCAUCGAGUCAAUAGAGACAAUACGUGUAAUGGGCUUUCUCUGUGAGACAUUUCUCUUAUUCAUCAUUUUCUUUAUAAUUUUGCAAAAUUAUGAUUAUAUACGCAUGAAGUAUGAACAGUCUGAUAGUUUGAGAGUCAUGUAUAUGCAGCAACACAUCUUUGAUGGUCAACUUGCGAGAUUUGGUCAAAGCUCAGAAAUAUGAUCAACUCUUAUUGGUUGUGAAGAAGCAGAAAGCUUCCUUUAACACAAAAGAAUAUGUGCUUUGCAGCUUUUUUUGUUAUUAGACACAACAAACUGUGAGAACAAAUAUGCUUUCACUUUUAAUUCCACAUAUUUUCUUCUGUCUCCCGGCUGUGUUUUUGAGGUAAAAACUCUCUACUUUACUAAUGUUUGUUUACUCAAACAAUUUAUAUGCAGCUAUCACUCACAGUCGCAGGAUAUCCAAACGUGUCCUUGUGUAGCUGAGCCACGCCACCCACCACGGGUGAGCUCAUUGUUUAUAUAUUUUAAUAUUUAUUAUGGAACGAAAAGUAUGGAUUUUUUUCCUCAGAAUUUUCUUACAAUAGAUUUUUAAGGAGGAUGAUCCAUCUCUAUUAUGCCUUUCUCUUAAAUUAAUUUUAUCGGUUUGAUCAUAUUUUGUUGUAUUAUAGUCGAAACAAUGACAACAAUGGUUCUUAUGUUUGGGGAUUUAAAAUAAUCCUUUAAAUAUAUUCUUGAACAAUUUUGGUCCUUUAAAAUUGUCAAAAGUGAACAGUUUUAUUCUCCAUCAAAUAUUUAUAAACUUUGACUGUCAAAACUGAACAAAAGUUUUGGAAAAAAUAGAUAUUCCACUGAAUUGGUGGGAAAAUUAUAAGCCAUAUUUCACUGUGAUUACAGAACUUUAAUCUUUUCUACCAAUGACCAUUUGAGUGCCCAUAUGGAGUAAUAACUAGGGGUAGGUAGAGCCCAUCACGAUAGUAAAUCCUACGAAGAGAUGUUCCUUAUCAAAAAAUCCAAUGCUUAGUCAGGAUUAGAGAUAAAGAGUUCAAAAAUACUAAAUUGUAACAGCUGCGAGUCAAAUUUAUGACCUAAAAAUAUUUACAAACUCUAGACAGAACUCGCCCUACACCCGCGCUGCUCUGUACCAUCUGUCAUUUCUAUAGUCACAGGGUGAAACAUUGGCAUACCAAAAGCCGCAGAACUCUUCAGACGUCGUAUAAGAACUCUAGGCUAUUGAUUAUACUUUCUUCGUUUACUUUUACUUGUCCACUACAAAUUUUACACUUCCCUUAAAAAAUAACAAAUGAAGUGCUACUAUAAUACCCAUAUUAAUUGAUGCAUACUUUUAAUGAGUUUGAAAAAAUAAGAAUUUAAUAGUAUAGGUGUAAUAGGAAAAAAGAAAUUGUCUUCUCUUGAUAUGCCAAAAGUGACAAAUAAAAAUGAGAAUCUAUUUUUAGAAUAAUGGACAAGUAAAAGUAAUAGUAUGAAGUAAUAAAUUUAAAAGUGAAGCACAAAGGAACGAAUAUUUAAUAUGUAAUAUGGCCAAUAUUUUGGCUAUUGGAGUUCAUCUAACUUAAACAUAAGUCUAUUUACAAGUAUACUUUGAUGGCUAUAUUCUUUGGGGCCAAAAUACAUUAUGUGGUGGAUAUUAUUUGCAAAAAUUGUAUCUUUUCUUUUACAGCUUGGAGGCCAAGCUUUUUUGACGAUAAAAGAAAACGUCAUUCAUUCAUUUUCAACACACCAAUAAGAUUUGAGUCUUUGUUUCUUCCUCUCCUCCUAUAUUGAGAGUUAUUUGUAAGAGAGUUGAGUGUUGGAAAAUACUUGUGUGAUCCCCUUUAUUUGGAGUGAUCUUGUGAUGUUAUUAUUUCGAGGGUAUUUGUUAGGUGUUGCCAUAAUUAUCUUACCAUAUUCGGUUUUCCUAUUUGUUGAAGGAAAGUUUAACAUAUUUACUUUAAUUGGGUUUUCCUUCUUGUAGAAGGGAAUUACAAAUCUCUCAUAUUUUGCUAGUCCUUUUUCUUCUAGGAAAAGGUUUGGACCUCUAUAAAUUAAGGAUCCUUCCUUCUCAUUCAGUAGCAUUUACAAUGUCGCCAUAUGGAAUUUGAGAGUCGUGUUUAGGGGGAGAACUUUACGGGACAAGUGUUAGUGUGUCACUUAUGUUUGCCUCUUCGUGAGGUUGUUCUCUCGAUAUUUUAUAUUCUCUUUUAUUAUAGUAAAUUUCUCAUCUCCGCCGUGGACAUAGGUCAAUUGACUGAACCACGUUAAAUAUUUGUGUACCUUUUGGUAUAUUUCUCUUUUGUUGUCGGACUUCAUUAUUCAAGGUUUGCUUUGUUAGAUUUCGCAUGACACUUGAUUUAUUUUUUAUCCUAACAAUAUUUGAGAUUAAUUAGAGUAUUUUACUCUAAUUUUGUAAUUUGCUCAUCUUCGCUUAUGGACAUAGGUCACUUUGACAGAACCACAUUAAAUUUGUAUUUUCUUUAUAUAUUUUAGUUAUUGUUGUUAUCAACGUGCAUUAUCUUUAUUAUUAUCAUUAUAAUAUUACUUGACAAAAUUUUGCACUAUUCGAAUUUCCGAGCCUAACCAACUACAAGCCAAUUAUAUUUUUCAGCUUUGUACUGUAUAUGUACAUUUAUUACCUAGAUCCUACUCCAAAGACUCUGUUGUGCCGAAUUGAAUUGUGGAAAACGUCAUAUUCUAGAGAAAAUUUGCACCUGCUUAACUCUCCGAUGUAUCUGCCUAUAUUUCUUAUCCGGAAUGGACAGAAGUAUAUAUGUUUUCCGAAUUUGGAAUGUCAUUCUCCUGACAAUAGGGGUUGCUCAGAUGGUAAGCAACCCUCACUUCCAACCGAAAAGUUGUGAGUUCGAGUCUCCCCAAGAGCAAGGUGGGAAAUUCUUGGAGGGAUGGAUGCGGGGGUCUAUUUGGAAACAGCCUCUCUACCCAAGGGUAGGGGUAAGGUCUGUGUACAUACUAUUCUCCCCAGACCCCACUAAGUGAGAUUAUACUGGGUUGUUGUUGUUGUUUGUUGAAUGUCAUUCUCCUGGACAAAUACAGAAAAGGAUUCCCAGUUUAGAGUCUCAAAGAGCGGGGCAUGUAGUUAUCACAUAAGAUCACUGGAAAUACAUAUCCAAAGCAAAUGGCUUCUACUUGAUAAUUACCUCUUGCACAUAUGCAGUAUUUGCUGCUCUUCAUGUACUGUAAAUAGCUUGUCUUUCUUAUUUCACCGGCAAUCCUCAUCUUUGUUUUCCCAGUGCUUCAAUAGUAUAUAUAGGGCGGAGGUAAUCAUGUCUAUAUCCAGCAAAGUCUGGGGUCCAUCCCCACCAAGAAAACAAAAAGGAGGAAACAUAUGCCAAAAUUAAUUUUGGCCAAAAUUGGUUUUGGUUCACGUUUCGCGAGGGGUAUCUGUAUCUAUACCUAUUAUUUGUAUCAUAUUUUAACUUGUGUUUGCUUGGCAAAAAAAAUUACAAGCGUACCCGCUUUUUCACAUAACUUGAGCACACGGGGCUGAAGUAACAAAGACAAUCACGCAAAACUUCAGUAUUUUAGCAGGCAUGCCUGAAGAGUUGAGUUUUUAUUUUAUAGCUAGCGAACUUCAGCCUUAGAGCUGAAGUUUUCAUCUUUGUAACCAGAAAAUUUCAACUAUAGAACUGAAAUUAUUUAAUUCAUUGUAUGUUUACUAUCUCAAAUAACACGUUUUCACAUAACUUCAGCUAUAGUUCUAUUUAAUUACUAUGAACUAUCUUCUCACAAACUAACCUUCAAUGUACGUAACUCAGCAAAAACAAAAAACACUAGGUACUCUCCGCAUAGUCUUUAUGCAAUUCAUACUUGAAAUCACCAAAACUCGUUUGCAUGUUCAAACCGAAGACCAAGAAUAUAUAUAUAUAUAACAUUCUUCUUAUUGUUUGAUUGAAUCUUCUAUUUUAAUUUGCUUUCUUAACUCAAUUAAUAGGACCUUUAAAGUCAACUUAUUUUCCAUACUAUGAAUACAGUACGAAAGGGAGGAAAUAUAUAAUGAUGUCAGUAUAUAUAAUGUUGAGUUCUCAAAUUGACAAAUUCUUGUAGCCCUUUUCUUAAUGUUCUUUAUUUUCAAUAGUUUUCUUUAUUUUCAAUAAUUUUCUGUUGAUUGUCCAUGUUAUUAAUCAAUGCUUCUUCUACUAACCGAAUUGGCUCCUCCAUGCUGGAUAAUAUAAAAAGAUUGAAGAAAAUUGCAGAAGCACCUCUAGUUCCGUUGGUUGGUGCAGGCGAAGAAGUAAAGAAAAGAAGAAGAUACAAAGUUGUUUUAUCUCGUUAUUGGGAUUCAAAGGCAGAGAGGAGCAAGAAUCAUUUUGGUUGUUUUCAUAUCUACGCCUAUCUUCUUUCUGUGAGAAUAUUGCACAUGAGAAAGUGAUUACGAGAAUAGCUAAAACUAUGUCUGCAAUUGGCCUCUCCAUUUGAGAUACAGUACAUUGUACCAGCAUUUUCAUUGUGUGAGCUAAAGUUUUCCGGUUACAAAGACAAAAACUUCAGCUCUAGAGCUGAACUUUUUCUUUUGUAACCGGAAAACUUCAGCUCUAGAGCUGAAGUUUUUCUUUUUAUAACCGGAAAACUUCAACUCUGAAGUUUUUAUCUUUGCAACCGGAAAACUUCAGUAUAUAGCUGAAGUUAUUUAGUUCAUUGUAUGUUUACUACCCCAAGUAACACUCUUUUCACAUAACUUCAGCUAUAGUUCUAUUUAAUUACUAUUAAUUAUUUUCCCACAAACUACAAAACCUUCAAUUUACUACAUUAUCAACAACUGUAGUAUUUUACGCAAGGCAAAGAAGAAAGAAGAAGAUGCAUUCUGUGAAGGAGAAAGUAAGCAACGCAGUGGUGAAAGCAGCAGCAAGAACAAAGGAAGAGGUAAGCAACGCAGCGGAGAAACCAGCAGCAAAGACAAAGGAAGAGAAAACGAUAGCAGAAGAGAGAAGGAAAGCAAAAGAAGCAGAAGCUAAAAUGGAACUACAAGGGAGAAAGGAAGCUGAAAUUUUUUAAAAAGUGAAUACAAGUUAAAAAAAUUUUGAAAAAUGGGUAUAGGUUAAAUGGGGGUGACCAAAUAGGACACCCCGUGCAAUUUCUAUGAUUCGUAAGUUGUUCAUUUAAUCAUACCAAUCUCAGAGGAAAAUAUAUCUAAGAGUUAAAGAGUAUUUUGAGGUACUCGCAAGCAGUAUAGUUUGUGAGGAAAUAUAAAGAGUGUGAACGAUAUUAUAGUAAGAUGGAAAUCUUUAUAAGGGGUUUUUUUUAGUUUAUAGUAGUCCAUCAAGUACUUUACUCAUGAUUAUUGUGUGUAAAAUUUCUCAUUAUAGUGGAUUACUUUUCUCCUCUCGGGCUCGUGAUUUUUUCCCUUAUUCAAAAGAGAUUUUCAUGUUAAAGAUUUUUGUGUCCUGGAUGUUCUUUUUAUUUUUGUGAUUAUCGUAUCC